CAGCCGCCACGGUAAUACCAGCAGCCCAAGUGGUGGUCGCGAUUAUUGGGCCUAAAGCGCUCGUAGCCGGGCCGGUAAGUCCCUUGUGAAAUCGGACGGCCUAGCCGUUCGGCGUGCAAGGGAUACUGUCGGUCUUGAGGCCGGGAGACGUCCGAGGUACUCCGGGGGUAGCGGUGAAAUGUUCUAAUCCUCGGGGGACCACCGGUGGCGAAGGCGUUCGACGAGAACGGGCCUGACGGUGAGGGGCGAAGGCUAGGGGAGCAAACGGGAUUAGAUACCCGCGUAGUCCCUGUCUCUUAUA
rnacentral:rRNA from 1 species